GAGAGACAGAGAGGGGAGGAUCCCCGUCUCAGGCCGGAGACUGUGGGGGACGGAAGGGACAACUGGGUGGAUCUGAGACAUCAGCCACUGUCUUCACAUCACAUCAUGUUAUGAGACCAAAUAGUUUGCUGCCGCUCCUUAUGGACAUUGAAAAUGUUUGAAAGUUCUGGUUUCACUUUGAAUCAUUUAUUCUUGUAUUUUUUUCAGAAAUCAGAAAACAUUUAUUGCUAUAAUAUGUCAGACAUACAAGGAAUUUGACUUGGCGGUUGGCGCGUAACAGCAGACAAUACGACAAUAGACGACAAGACAAUAUAGUGCAAGAGGAAUGAAAUAUAAUGCUAUGGGUUAGUUUAAAAACUAAAGUUAAAAAGUAUUUAAAAAUUAAAAAUAAAGUGCACCAGCGAACAGAAAGUGACAAGUGAAAGUGACGUGUGCAGUGUGAAGAAAGUGACCGGUGGAAUGUCAGAGUCAGUCAGUGGGGGACCGGGCUCUGUUAAUGAGCACAACUGCAGUCAGAGUCAGUCAGAGUUUUUUAUUUCUACUACAGAUCUUCAUUGUAGACUGAUUCAAUAUACCCAAGACUGUGUAAGAAGGAACUGGGGGCUGCUUAUCAUCACGCUUUGGGAAUGCCCCAGCUGUCAUUCCACGCAAGGUUUUGUGUACAGGAUUUGGUGCCAAUAGGUUUGCUCUGAUUAAUAUCAGUCGACUUUAUGAUGAGUUGAAUGCCGAACUGAGGUAAAAACUAUUUCCAGACGCCGAUUUUAUUAGAGCCAUUUUAAGCUCUGUAUUUAAAAUUCUGUCAUCUUUAAUUGCCGUUGUCAAUUCCAGUCCUGGAUUGUAAAUUUUCUCUUCAAUUGACUCUUUUUAUGACAGUCUCAUCUCAUGGAACCUGACAGGCUGUCUUCUCCAUUAAACCCACUGACUUGUUUCAGUAGAACGUCCAAAUUCGCCACUGAAAUCUAUCGACUAUGUUGAAUUUGCCUUCAAUGACCAGCGUGGUUUUAACAGCGUACCCUUUUUUCUUCUGCUCUACCCUUCCCAUGGUUCCACAGUCUUUGGAGCAUUAAGUCAAAUUCCACUGUCAAUAUGGCUCAAUUCAUUGUAUUUUUUCCUCCAUCAUCCAGUUGUCUUGGGAGACUUUGAGCAAAUUGGGAAUAUCUAUGAUGACUUGACUUGAAAUGGAUCAGCGGUUUACCGUUUGUGUUGACGCCGGAGUCGUCAUAAGAAGUUUUUUGCAUGGGACAUUAUCGGAACUGGGCCGUACGGAGCUCAGACUUCAACCCAAUCCAAAACGUCCGUCUACGAGCCUUCAUCGCACAACUUCGGUGACCGGCCAACAUGUACGGCAAUGUGGCUUUAUUCUCAACGCUGAUAUGUUAGCGUCAGUAAACUGGUAAUAAUUGUGACGGCCUCUGUGUGGUUCAUUGAGGCCACUCUGUGGGAGUGAUACCUCUCUAGUAACCAUCUUUGUCCGGAGUUGAUGGCAGAUCUGGAGCACCUGGGAGCGGUGAGCCAAUGGUGAUGAAGCCCCACCUGAUCGGACUACACCUCUCGCUCUUCA
ensembl:lncRNA